UACGGAGGGGCGAGCGUUGUCCGAAGUUACUGGGCGUAAAGCGCGCGUAGGCGGGUCAACAAGUCCGCUGUGAAAGCCCGAGGCUUAACCUCGGCGGGUCGGUGGAUACUGUUGGUCUUGAAGGUGCUAGGGGGAGAUGGAAUGACCGGUGUAGUGGUGGAAUGCGUAGAUAUCGGGAGGAACACCAGUGGCGAAGGCGGUUGCCUGGGGCUUUGCUGACGCUGAGGCGCGAAAGCGUGGGGAGCAAACAGGG
rnacentral:rRNA from 1 species